rnacentral:rRNA from 1 species
GUCAGAUUGGACGCUGGCGGCAUGCCUUACACAUGCAAGUCGAACGGCAGCGCGGGAGCAAUCCUGGCGGCGAGUGGCGAACGGGUGAGUAAUACAUCGGAACGUGCCCAAUCGUGGGGGAUAACGCAGCGAAAGCUGUGCUAAUACCGCAUACGAUCUACGGAUGAAAGCAGGGGAUCGCAAGACCUUGCGCGAAUGGAGCGGCCGAUGGCAGAUUAGGUAGUUGGUGAGGUAAAGGCUCACCAAGCCUUCGAUCUGUAGCUGGUCUGAGAGGACGACCAGCCACACUGGGACUGAGACACGGCCCAGACUCCUACGGGAGGCAGCAGUGGGGAAUUUUGGACAAUGGGCGCAAGCCUGAUCCAGCCAUGCCGCGUGCAGGAUGAAGGCCUUCGGGUUGUAAACUGCUUUUGUACGGAACGAAACGGCCUUUUCUAAUAAAGAGGGCUAAUGACGGUACCGUAAGAAUAAGC